rnacentral:rRNA from 1 species
GACGAACGCUGGCGGCGUGCUUAACACAUGCAAGUCGAACGGAAAGGCCCUGCUUUUGUGGGGUGCUCGAGUGGCGAACGGGUGAGUAACACGUGAGUAACCUGCCCUUGACUUUGGGAUAACUUCAGGAAACUGGGGCUAAUACCGGAUAGGAGCUCCUGCUGCAUGGUGGGGGUUGGAGAGUUUCGGCGGUUGGGGAUGGACUCGCGGCUUAUCAGCUUGUUGGUGGGGUAGUGGCUUACCAAGGCUUUGACGGGUAGCCGGCCUGAGAGGGUGACCGGCCACAUUGGGACUGAGAUACGGCCCAGACUCCUACGGGAGGCAGCAGUGGGGAAUAUUGUACAAUGGGCGGAAGCCUGAUGCAGCAACGCCGCGUGCGGGAUGACGGCCUUCGGGUUGUAAACCGCUUUCGCCUGUGACGAAGCGUGAGUGACGGUAAUGGGUAAAGAAGCACCGGCUAACUACGUGCCAGCAGCCGCGGUGAUACGUAGGGUGCGAGCGUUGUCCGGAUUUAUUGGGCGUAAAGGGCUCGUAGGUGGUUGAUCGCGUCGGAAGUGUAAUCUUGGGGCUUAACCCUGAGCGUGCUUUCGAUACGGGUUGACUUGAGGAAGGUAGGGGAGAAUGGAAUUCCUGGUGGAGCGGUGGAAUGCGCAGAUAUCAGGAGGAACACCAGUGGCGAAGGCGGUUCUCUGGGCCUUUCCUGACGCUGAGGAGCGAAAGCGUGGGGAGCGAACAGGCUUAGAUACCCUGGUAGUCCACGCUGUAAACGGUGGGUACUAGGUGUGGGGUCCAUUCCACGGGUUCCGUGCCGUAGCUAACGCUUUAAGUACCCCGCCUGGGGAGUACGGCCGCAAGGCUAAAACUCAAAGGAAUUGACGGGGCCCCGCACAAGCGGCGGAGCAUGCGGAUUAAUUCGAUGCAACGCGUAGAACCUUACCUGGGUUUGACAUGGAUCGGGAGCGCUCAGAGAUGGGUGUGCCUCUUUUGGGGUCGGUUCACAGGUGGUGCAUGGCUGUCGUCAGCUCGUGUCGUGAGAUGUUGGGUUAAGUCCCGCAACGAGCGCAACCCUUGUUCACUGUUGCCAGCACGUUAUGGUGGGGACUCAGUGGAGACCGCCGGGGUCAACUCGGAGGAAGGUGGGGAUGACGUCAAGUCAUCAUGCCCCUUAUGUCCAGGGCUUCACGCAUGCUACAAUGGCUGGUACAGAGGGUGGCGAGCCUGUGAGGGUGAGCGAAUCUCGGAAAGCCGGUCUCAGUUCGGAUUGGGGUCUGCAACUCGACCUCAUGAAGUCGGAGUCGCUAGUAAUCGCAGAUCAGCAACGCUGCGGUGAAUACGUUCCCGGGGCU